UACGGGGGGGGCAAGCGUUGUUCGGAAUUACUGGGCGUAAAGGGCUCGUAGGUUGCCAACUAAGUCAGACGUGAAAUCCCUCGGCUUAACCGGGGAACUGCGUCUGAUACUGGAUGGCUAGAGAUUGGGAGAGGGAUGCGGAAUUCCAGGUGUAGCGGUGAAAUGCGUAGAUAUCUGGAGGAAUACCGGUGGCGAAGGCGGCAUCCUGGACCAACACUGACGCUGAGGCGCGAAAGCUAGGGGAGCAAACGGG
rnacentral:rRNA from 1 species